rnacentral:lncRNA from 1 species
GUGGCAAAGAUGACAACAAGUGAUAUAUAUAACAAUCAAAAUUUGAAUAUAGUACAUGUAGCAGAUAAAAUCAUUUAGUCAUUUUCAAAAAUCUGAUUUCGAAGUUUACAAAUUUCUGUUUCCCUAAUAGCUUCAGAAUCUUCUGUACAUUUUCCUUUUUUGUUCAUUUGGGAAAAGAAGCUUGUUAUCUGCUGAACAGCAGAAUUUCAUUAUAGGUGAAUCUUCUGGUGCCAUCUGUGUUUUUCUAAUUUAGCAUGGAUUCCAACACUAUGAAGGGGUCUUCUUUCCAACCAGUAGUAAGACCUAUAUUGAAUUUUUCUGUUAGAUAUUUUUUUGGUCGUUGAAUCUUUUACAUUCUCUUUCAUCCUUGAGGAACACCCAGAAGGAUGUUGGUUUUCUUGGUUGUUACUUGGCUCUAAUUGUUUGGUUUCUGCUGUUAAGCAAUCAUCUGUUUGCAUAAUACUGCAUUCAGCUAUUUUUUGCAAAUAAAUAUGUUUAGUUACAUCAGAAUUAAUACUGGAUUUGUGGUCGAGCUCGAGACAACAUUUCCCUACAAUUAUAUGAUUUGUCAAGGCGUCAUCCUUAUCAAAAGAUGGCAAACAUCCAUUGUUUGUACAUGUCAUGUGAAUAAUGCCUGUUUUUCUGUUUCAUCCUGCUGAUUUGAUUUUUCUCUAAAGUCUGCAGAAUGAUUGCUUCCUAUAAUUGGAUUGACACCCUAUUUGGUCUGGUUCUUUCAAAAUAGUCAAAGGUUCGAAUUAAUUGUGGGUAUUUUCUCCAUUGCAAUCAACAAUC